AACGAACGCUGGCGGCAGGCCUAACACAUGCAAGUCGAGCGGAUGACGGGAGCUUGCUCCUUGAUUCAGCGGCGGACGGGUGAGUAAUGCCUAGGAAUCUGCCUGGUAGUGGGGGACAACGUUUCGAAAGGAACGCUAAUACCGCAUACGUCCUACGGGAGAAAGCAGGGGACCUUCGGGCCUUGCGCUAUCAGAUGAGCCUAGGUCGGAAUAGCUAGUUGGUGGGGUAAUGGCUCACCAAGGCGACGAUCCGUAACUGGUUUGAGAGGAUGAUCAGUCACACUGGAACUGAGACACGGUCCAGACUCCUACGGGAGGCAGCAGUGGGGAAUAUUGGACAAUGGGCGAAAGCCUGAUCCAGCCAUGCCGCGUGUGUGAAGAAGGUCUUCGGAUUGUAAAGCACUUUAAGUUGGGAGGAAGGGCAGUAAGUUAAUACCUUGCUGUUUUGACGUUACCGACAGAAUAAGCACCGGCUAACUCUGUGCCAGCAGCCGCCGUAAAAC
rnacentral:rRNA from 1 species